rnacentral:rRNA from 1 species
UACGGGGGGGGGCAAGCGUUGUUCGGAAUUACUGGGCGUAAAGGGCUCGUAGGCGGCCAACUAAGUCAGACGUGAAAUCCCUCGGCUUAACCGGGGAACUGCGUCUGAUACUGGAUGGCUUGAGUUUGGGAGAGGGAUGCGGAAUUCCAGGUGUAGCGGUGAAAUGCGUAGAUAUCUGGAGGAACACCGGUGGCGAAGGCGGCAUCCUGGACCGACACUGACGCUGAGGAGCGAAAGCCAGGGGAGCAAACGGG